rnacentral:rRNA from 1 species
GACGAACGCUGGCGGCGUGCUUAACACAUGCAAGUCGAACGGAAAGGCCCUGCUUUUGUGGGGUGCUCGAGUGGCGAACGGGUGAGUAACACGUGAGUAACCUGCCCUUGACUUUGGGAUAACUUCAGGAAACUGGGGCUAAUACCGGAUAGGAGCUCCUGCUGCAUGGUGGGGGUUGGAAAGUUUCGGCGGUUGGGGAUGGACUCGCGGCUUAUCAGCUUGUUGGUGGGGUAGUGGCUUACCAAGGCUUUGACGGGUAGCCGGCCUGAGAGGGUGACCGGCCACAUUGGGACUGAGAUACGGCACAGACUCCUACGGGAGGCAGCAGUGGGGAAUAGUGCACAAUGGGCGGAAGCCUGAUGCAGCAACGCCGCGUGCGGGAUGACGGCCUUCGGGUCGUAAACCGCUUUCGCCUGUGACGAAGCGUGAGUGACGGUAAUGGGUAAAGAAGCACCGGCUAACUACGUG